rnacentral:lncRNA from 1 species
AGGCAUAAAUCAAGUCAAAGUUCAUCAGCUGAUGCAAUGGUAACAUGAGUAAGGUCCAGGGAGAGAGAUAAAGUACUGGAGCUAUGGUAAAAUAGGGCACGUGAGGAGGGAUUGCAGAUUGAGAAAGGGAGGUGGAGAGGACAAGCUCGAGUCCAAUAAUUUUCAGAGAAAUGUAGUAGAUGCUGGUUCUACUACAUCUAAAGACGGAGAUGUGUUAUCUAUCCAAGGG